UAAUUCGUCCAGUAAAUCUUCCUGCCUCCAAAUAUCCCCGGUACACCACAUGAAACUAAAUCCACGGAGUGCUCAAUUGUUUUCCAUGAUUUUUUCCUUGAACUAUAAACUUUACCAACCCAUUUGAUCUCCUCCUGCAGGUAAUAACUAACACUCACAAACACCUUGUACUCAUCACUCGAUUCAACCCAACCGAAUCCGUAAUUACGAACAUUGCCGGGACUAGAAAUUACUGGCAGUUUCUUGGAGGUCCGAGUCGAUGGGUUCCACAAGUAAAUUUCUUGAAGAAUUUCUGCACGUUUUCUUGAUUUCUUGAGAAUGCAGAACAGCCCAUUACAGCAUCCCGAAGUUUGAUAUGGCAGCAAUGUCGCCAUCGCAUCAUCAAGUGAAUAUCGACUGAUAGGUUGUUCACUCAGCAACGACUGCAGAGAACAUUCCUCAAGCCUAUCACACUUAGUCGUCACUCUAAUGAGCCUUUGAUGGGGGAAACAUGGAUUUUUUAUUGAAUUUUGGUGAUGGGCUUUGAUGAAGCGUUUGCUGCCUAUUAAAGACCUCCAUGUUUUCGAAACGCACCUAAAUCUCAACAGUGAUUUCACGGGCAAUAUUGACAGUAUUUCUUCGAUGAUUUCUUCUGGAAGAUGGAGAGAUUGCUGGUUUCUUCUUCUUUGUCCUCUUCUUCCUCUUCNCCUUCCUUAAACAAUCUCUCACCUUUCCAGACCUUAUUUCACAAAUCUCCCGACUAUAAGAGGAUUAGAGUAUUUGGAUGUGCAUGCUUCCCCUAUCUAAAACCUUACAAUCAGCAUAAGCUUCAAUUUCGAUCUACAAGUGUGUGUUCCUUGGGUAUAGUGACUGUCACAAAGGCUAUAAGUGCCUUAGUCCCACUAAACACAUCUAUGUUGCUGAUACAGUUCACUUUAAUGAAGUCGAACUUCCUUAUCCUUCUCUUUUCCCUUCCACAGUUUCAUCUAGCUCCACACCUCCACAGUCUCUACAAUCUUUACCUAUUCUUCAUUUUCCUACUCCACACCCUCCUCCUCCUUCCCCUCCUCCUCCCCCUCUCCCCCCUCCUCCUCCAUCGCCUCCGCCCUCUCCUCCUCCUCCUCCUCCGCCUCCCCCACCGCCUCCUUCUACUCUCACUAACACACAUACUAUGCUUACUAGAGCCAAACAUGGGAUAUUCAAGCCUAAGAGUUUUGUUUCACAGCAUGUUUCUCCUGACAUAUCAGAUACAGAGAUCUGGAUUGUUGUUACUUCUCCCGCAAAUGAGGCUCUCUUGGUUAUGACAGCUUCUGGAAAACAUCUUCCAUCUAUUCCCAAAACUGAUGAGGAAGCUCUGGCUCACCUGGGAUGGUUUGAGGCCAUGAACAAGGAACUUAGCGCCCUUAAUAUUAAAGGUACGUGGGUUCUUGUACCACCCUCUCCAGAUCAAAAAGUUAUUUCCAACAAAUGGGUUUUUCGUGUUAAAACUCUCUCUGAUGGGGAAUUAGACAAAUUAAAGGCCAGGUUGGUGGCCCGAGGGUUCGAGCAGGUUGCUGGCAUUGAUUUUCUUGAAGUAUUCAGCCCUGUUGUUAAAGCUUCCACUAUUCGUCUCAUUUUUGCUCUAGCUGCCUCCAACAACUGGUCUAUUCAGCAGAUUGAUAUAAACAACGCGUUUCUCAAUGGCGAUCUUGAGGAAACAAUUUAUAUGGUUCAACCUAAGGGGUUUGAGGACCCUCUUCACCCUGAUCAUGUGUGUAAAUUGGAAAAAUCACUAUAUGGCUUGCGACAAGCCCCUCGGGCGUGGUAUGAUAAACUUCGAGCUUGUCUUCUUGAUCUUGGUUUUCAUCGCUCAGCCUCAGAUUUUUCACUUUUCCAUCGACGGAAAAAUGGUAUUCUCACUAUUAUUCUUGUGUAUGUUGACGAUAUUCUCAUCACUGGAGACAGCAAACAAGAACUCUUGGAUAUCAUUGCCUACUGCAUCAGAAAUUUGCUCUUACUUCUCUCGGUGAUGUGCACUAUUUCUUGGGAAUUGAGGUAGUCAGACAUGGUUCAUCCUUUGCUUUAAGUCAGACAAAAUAUCUUCAUGAGUUGCUUCAUAAAACGCAUAUGAGCUCGUGCCAUCCUUGCGCCACUCCGAUGACACCUGCUACUAAGCUUUCAAAAUAUGGUGGGGUUCCUUUUUCUGAUCCCACUUAUAUCGUAGCACAAUCGGUGCGUUGCAGUAUCUUACACACACUCGCCUAGAUAUUGCGUUUGCGUAAAUAAGCUAGUCAGUUUCUUCAUCAACCUACGUCUCUUCACUGGACAACAUGUAAACGGCUACUGCGUUAUCUAAAGGUACACUUCCAUGGCCUUACACUUCUCCCCAUCUUCCUCCAUCUCUUGUUGGCUUUGCUGAUGCCGACUAUGCAAGUAGUGUUGAUGAUCGACGCUCUACGGUGGCACUGUGUAUACUUUGGUACUAAUCUCAUUACAUGGAGCUCCAAGAAGCAGUCAGUAGUCUCUCGAAGCAGCACCGAAUCUGAGUAUCGAUCACUAGCAAAUGCUACAUCUGAAGUGGUUUGGCUUGAUGCUUUAUGUAAAGAAUUGGAUAUUUCCCUUUCUUCCCCACAUAAACUUUGGUGCGAUAAUAUUAGUGCUGUUGCCCUUUCCUCAAAUCCAGUCUUCAUCUCGUCACAAAGCACAUUGAGGUUGAUGUGCACUUCGUUCGGGAAAAAGUGCAAGAGAAGUUCAUUGACGUUGGCCAUGUACCUGCUAUCGACCAGAUUGUGAUCUUUUUACUAAACCUCUCGCCGAGCCUCGGUUCUGUAUCUGCGUGCAAAGCUCAAUCUUCACUCCUUAGAGGAUCGCAGUCCUGGAUAGAGACAACCAUUUCUUGGAGCAUAUUGAAGUAAUUUAAUUUACCUCUUGUAUUUUCUGUUGUUAGUCAGUUACAUAGUUAGUUAGAUAGGUUGUUAAGCAAGCAGCUAGAAGCUUCUAUUUUACAUCUGUAUAUAGCUUCGGCUCCAAGUUAGUUGCAGUCAGUUUUCAGCUUAAUGAAAAAUCAGUUCACAAAAUAUCCUCUCUCUUCUUUUCUCUCCAGCUUUGCUUCUAUUCUUCUCACAUCUUUUCUCUCAGUUUAGCUUUGAGUUUAACAAUCGGCCUCAUGCUAUCAACUUCAAUAGCAAGGUAGCGCAAGUUAACAUACAUCUUCAAAAAGUUACGAAACUUGCAUGCAUGUAAUGUUCUAAGAAACCCAGAAUUCUUAAUACGCGGGACUUUCCCAUAUUCACUGAUAAUGGAACGACCACGUGGCAUAGACUGCAAGUCGUCAAGGACUCUCUUCAAUGGUGUGUUCCUGGGACAACGCGGCGUUGGCUACUUUUGCCUCGAGGACUAGAUUGCCCUGUGACAUGAUAGAACCCAUCUUUCUUGCUCUGGUUCAAGCAUAAAUCCCUCAACAAAUCAUGAAUUUUGACAAAUUUGAUGUUUCCUGUAGACCCUAGUUCACCAACUAGAAUGAGAUUUCUAUCAACCAAGUCCUUUAAGAACUCUAUGGCAAUAGUUUCCAAACUUUUGCCAUUCAUGGGUUUUAAAAAUCCUUCAGAAACCCAUAGCUUCACGAGUGUUGACACUCUAACCGAAUCAUCCUCCUCAAACACUCCCAUAUACAAAAAACAAAUUAAAUGAACCUGAUUUCUCUCAAGGUAGAAUGUUAUAUUGUGUAGGGACCAUAAGUUUGAUGGAUUAUUUCGCACAAAUAUAAUCGUGUAAUUGGAUAUGCCUUACGUUUAACUUUUUACGUAAUAAACAUUCUUUUCAUUCUAUGGGUUACUGAUUAUUUAUUAUUUCAUAGGUUGGAUUGAUUUUAACUUGCACAUUGAUUAUUUAAUAGGUUGGAUUCAUUUUAUGUUCGUAUAUUAAUGGUUACUAAUUAUUAGCAUUUGAAAUUUGGAAUUUUUUUAUUCUUAAUAAUAUUGUUUAUAUGGAACUCUAUAGAAUUGAUUUGUAAAAGAUAUUUUGUUGUUUGUUAUAUAUAUUUUGCUUUAUUUAAUAUGAUAUUUUUUCUUAUGUUUAUAAUUAUAUUUCAUGUAUUUGUGAAUUUCGUACUCGUGCAUACGCACGGGUAAAAUACUAGUAUAUAUAUAAAACACAUAUCAUCAAAAAAGCUAUGAAACCACUCACUAUCAUGUGUUCUAAGACGUUGUUUCAUAAAUCCUUUGGCGAGACUAAACUUUCAACACAGACAUGACAUGACAAAGAAAAGGAACGAUACUCAAGCUUGCAGAACACAUUAUCCCGGCAAUCGUAGACCACCACAGUGGAUCCACAAUUUACCAAAAUGUCUCCAUUUAGACCUUUCACCAAUGGUGGUUGAAGAAGCUCAAGAAGAUGAGAAAGAUUCUCCACUUUCUCCCAAGACUCCUUCAUAACCCAAACUCGAUAGCCUCUAAUUUCAUCAUUAAAACAUAGCACACAAAGCAAACCACCAAGCACACCCACAAUGUCAUACACCUCUCGAUCAAAGGGAAUCCUUCCAAACACCUCACUCUUCAAGUCCCAGAAAGUAAUAUCUUCUUUAUCUCCGUAAUCGUUCCAGUAAAGCUUCCCACCUGCAAGCACCCCUCUUCCCCAACUUACAGGUAAAUAACCGGAUAGCUCAAUUGUUUUCCAUGAUUUUGUCUUUGAACUAUAAAAUUUACCAACCCAGUUAUUAAUCGACCCGUAAUAAUCAUAAUGAACCAAAAGCACAAACACCUUGUACUCAUCACUCGAUUCAACCCAACCGAAUCCGUAAU
rnacentral:lncRNA from 1 species